rnacentral:rRNA from 1 species
AGGAUGAACGCUGGCGGCGUGCUUAACACAUGCAAGUCGAACGAUGAUGCCAGCUUGCUGGUGGAUUAGUGGCGAACGGGUGAGUAACACGUGAGUAACCUGCCCUUAACUCUGGGAUAAGCCUGGGAAACUGGGUCUAAUACCGGAUAUGACUCCUCAUCGCAUGGUGGGGGUGAAAGCUUUUUGUGGUUUUGGAUGGACUCGCGGCCUAGUCAGCUUUGUUGGUGAGGUAAUGGCUCACCAAGGCGACGACGGGUAGCCGGCCUGGAGAGGGUGACCGGCCACACUGGGACUGAGACACGGCCCAGACGUCCUACGGGAGGCAGCAGUGGGGAAUAUUGCACAAUGGGCGAAAGCCUGAUGCAGCGACGCCGCGUGAGGAUGACGGCUGGUGUAACUCUUCAGUAGGAAGAAGCGAAGUCGACGGUACCUGCAGAAGAAGCGCCGGCUAACGUACGUGCCAGCAGCCGCGGUAA